rnacentral:rRNA from 1 species
GACGAACGCUGGCGGCGUGCCUAAUACAUGCAAGUCGAGCGAAGUUUUUCUGGUGCUUGCACCGGAAAAACUUAGCGGCGAACGGGUGAGUAACACGUAAAGAACCUGCCUCAUAGACUGGGACAACUAUUGGAAACGAUAGCUAAUACCGGAUAACAGCAUUAACUGCAUGGUUGAUGUUUGAAAGUUGGUUUUGCUAACACUAUGAGAUGGCUUUGCGGUGCAUUAGCUAGUUGGUGGGGUAAAGGCCUACCAAGGCGACGAUGCAUAGCCGACCUGAGAGGGUGAUCGGCCACACUGGGACUGAGACACGGCCCAGACUCCUACGGGAGGCAGCAGUAGGGAAUCUUCCGCAAUGGGCGAAAGCCUGACGGAGCAACGCCGCGUGAGUGAAGAAGGAUUUCGGUUCGUAAAGCUCUGUUGUUAGGGAAGAAUGAUUGUGUAGUAACUAUACACAGUAGAGACGGACCUAACCAAAAGCCCGC